UGUAAAUAAAUGUUUGGAACAUUAAAUAUUUUGAUUAUUUAUAAUUGAGUUUAAUUCUCAAAUUUACAA
rnacentral:tRNA from 1 species